AUGAAAUAUCAACAUGGAUGCAGAGUUGGUUCGCUGCCGCAAGCCACACUGAGAGAGUUCAUGAUCCAGGGACUAUAUGGGUUGUGGUUAGCAAAGAAUGAGGCGAGAGAUGGCAAGAAAAUUGCAGAUCCCCGGGCAGUGGCAGAAAGCGUUUGUGAUCAUGUACGGGAGUGGCUCUCGGGGCAUACAAAACAAAAAACGAUCAAGACGCCGAAAUCGGUCAAGCAUUGGAAGCAGCCUGACCAAGGAUGGAUUAAAGUUAAUACAGAUGGUGCUGUGUCGAAAGUGCAAGACAAAGGGGGAGGUGGAGUGAUCCUACGAGACCAUGAAGGUGCUUAUAGAGGAGGAGCUGCAAUGUUCUUCCCCAGUGCUACUGACCCUCAAGUUGCUGAAGUGUUGGCUGUGAGGAGGGGGGUUAAACUAGCGACAGAGAGGAGUAUAGAAAAUUCAUCUGGAACUAGCCAGCAAAAGCGUUGUCUCUAUGUUGAAUGA
rnacentral:rRNA from 1 species